rnacentral:rRNA from 1 species
GGAAUAUUGGACAAUGGGGGGAACCCUGAUCCAGCGACGCCGCGUAUAGGAAGAAGUUUUUCGGAAUGUAAACUAUUGUCGUUAGGGAAGAGAAAGGACAGUACCUAAGGAGGAAGCUCCGGCUAACUACGUGCCAGCAGCCGCGGUAAUACGUAGGGAGCGAGCGUUAUCCGGAAUUAUUGGGUGUAAAGGGUGCGUAGACGGGAAAACAAGUUAGUUGUGAAAUCCCUCGGCUUAACUGAGGAACUGCAACUAAAACUAUUUUUCUUGAGUGCAGGAGAGGUAAGUGGAAUUCCUAGUGUAGCGGUGAAAUGCGUAGAUAUUAGGAGGAACACCAGUGGCGAAGGCGACUUACUGGACUGUAACUGACGUUGAGGCUCGAAAGCGUGGGGAGCAAACAG